CUUAANNNNNANCNAGUCGAACGGUAACAGGAAGGAAGNUUGCUUUCUUUGCUGACGAGUGGCGGACGGGUGAGUAAUGCUUGGGAAUCUGGCUUAUGGAGGGGGAUAACUACUGGAAACGGUAGCUAAUACCGCGUAAUGUCUACGGACUAAAGGGGGCAUUUGCUCCUGCCAUAAGAUGAGCCCAAGUGGGAUUAGGUAGUUGGUGAGGUAACGGCUCACCAAGCCGUCGAUCUCUAGCUGGUCUGAGAGGAUGACCAGCCACACUGGAACUGAGACACGGUCCAGACUCCUACGGGAGGCAGCAGUGGGGAAUAUUGCACAAUGGGGGAAACCCUGAUGCAGCCAUGCCGCGUGAAUGAAGAAGGCCUUCGGGUUGUAAAGUUCUUUCGGUGAUGAGGAAGGUGUGAUGGUUAAUACCCAUCACAAUUGACGUUAGUCACAGAAGAAGCACCGGCUAACUCCGUGCCAGCAGCCGCGGUAAUACGGAGGGUGCGAGCGUUAAUCGGAAUAACUGGGCGUAAAGGGCACGCAGGCGGUUGUUUAAGUGAGGUGUGAAAGCCCCGGGCUCAACCUGGGAAUUGCAUUUCAGACUGGACAACUAGAGUACUUUAGGGAGGGGUAGAAUUCCAUGUGUAGCGGUGAAAUGCGUAGAGA
rnacentral:rRNA from 1 species